rnacentral:rRNA from 52 species
AGAGUUUGAUCAUGGCUCAGAUUGAACGCUGGCGGCAGGCCUAACACAUGCAAGUCGAGCGGUAGCACAGAGAGCUUGCUCUCGGGUGACGAGCGGCGGACGGGUGAGUAAUGUCUGGGAAACUGCCUGAUGGAGGGGGAUAACUACUGGAAACGGUAGCUAAUACCGCAUAACGUCGCAAGACCAAAGUGGGGGACCUUCGGGCCUCAUGCCAUCAGAUGUGCCCAGAUGGGAUUAGCUAGUAGGUGGGGUAACGGCUCACCUAGGCGACGAUCCCUAGCUGGUCUGAGAGGAUGACCAGCCACACUGGAACUGAGACACGGUCCAGACUCCUACGGGAGGCAGCAGUGGGGAAUAUUGCACAAUGGGCGCAAGCCUGAUGCAGCCAUGCCGCGUGUGUGAAGAAGGCCUUCGGGUUGUAAAGCACUUUCAGCGGGGAGGAAGGCGAUAAGGUUAAUAACCUUGUCGAUUGACGUUACCCGCAGAAGAAGCACCGGCUAACUCCGUGCCAGCAGCCGCGGUAAUACGGAGGGUGCAAGCGUUAAUCGGAAUUACUGGGCGUAAAGCGCACGCAGGCGGUCUGUCAAGUCGGAUGUGAAAUCCCCGGGCUCAACCUGGGAACUGCAUUCGAAACUGGCAGGCUAGAGUCUUGUAGAGGGGGGUAGAAUUCCAGGUGUAGCGGUGAAAUGCGUAGAGAUCUGGAGGAAUACCGGUGGCGAAGGCGGCCCCCUGGACAAAGACUGACGCUCAGGUGCGAAAGCGUGGGGAGCAAACAGGAUUAGAUACCCUGGUAGUCCACGCCGUAAACGAUGUCGAUUUGGAGGUUGUGCCCUUGAGGCGUGGCUUCCGGAGCUAACGCGUUAAAUCGACCGCCUGGGGAGUACGGCCGCAAGGUUAAAACUCAAAUGAAUUGACGGGGGCCCGCACAAGCGGUGGAGCAUGUGGUUUAAUUCGAUGCAACGCGAAGAACCUUACCUGGUCUUGACAUCCACAGAACUUUCCAGAGAUGGAUUGGUGCCUUCGGGAACUGUGAGACAGGUGCUGCAUGGCUGUCGUCAGCUCGUGUUGUGAAAUGUUGGGUUAAGUCCCGCAACGAGCGCAACCCUUAUCCUUUGUUGCCAGCGGUCCGGCCGGGAACUCAAAGGAGACUGCCAGUGAUAAACUGGAGGAAGGUGGGGAUGACGUCAAGUCAUCAUGGCCCUUACGACCAGGGCUACACACGUGCUACAAUGGCAUAUACAAAGAGAAGCGACCUCGCGAGAGCAAGCGGACCUCAUAAAGUAUGUCGUAGUCCGGAUUGGAGUCUGCAACUCGACUCCAUGAAGUCGGAAUCGCUAGUAAUCGUAGAUCAGAAUGCUACGGUGAAUACGUUCCCGGGCCUUGUACACACCGCCCGUCACACCAUGGGAGUGGGUUGCAAAAGAAGUAGGUAGCUUAACCUUCGGGAGGGCGCUUACCACUUUGUGAUUCAUGACUGGGGUGAAGUCGUAACAAGGUAACCGUAGGGGAACCUGCGGUUGGAUCACCU